UACAGAGGGUGCAAGCGUUAAUCGGAAUUACUGGGCGUAAAGGGUGUGUAGGCGGAAUAUUAAGUCAGGUGUGAAAACCCCAAGCUCAACUUGGGCAGUGCAUUUGAUACUGGUAAUCUAGAGUACAGUAGAGGGUAGCGGAAUUUCCGGUGUAGCAGUGAAAUGCGUAGAUAUCGGAAGGAACACCAGUGGCGAAGGCGGCUAUCUGGACUGAUACUGACGCUCAUACACGAAAGCAUGGGGAGCAAACAGG
rnacentral:rRNA from 1 species